GAAAUGCGAUAAUUAAUGUGAAUUGCAGAAUUCAGUGAAUCAUCGAGUCUUUGAACGCACAUUGCGCCCCCUGGUAUUCCGGGGGGCAUGCCUGUCCGAGCGUCAUUGCUGCCCUCAAGCACGGCUUGUGUGUUGGGCUUCCGUCCCUGGCAACGGGGGCGGGCCCAAAAGGCAGUGGCGGCACCAUGUCUGGUCCUCGAGCGUAUGGGGCUUUGUCACCCGCUCCCGUAGGUCCAGCUGGCAGCUAGCCUCGCAACCAAUCUUUUUAACCAGGUUGACCUCGGAUCAGGUAGGGAUACCCGCUGAACUUAAGC
rnacentral:misc_RNA from 1 species